AAAAAGUCUUUGUACUCUUCAGGGGCAAAAUCAUAAUUUUACCAAAACCCUGAUUUAAUAGUAUCAUUUGGUAGAACAAAAGAUUUGUGAUCUAUUGGCGAAAAUUUCAUUAUUUUUGGACUUGUAUUUUUGAAGUUAUGCAUGUUUGAAAAUCAUGAGUCGACUCAUGAGUCAGCUCAUGGCACAAUGAGCAGUUUGGCACGCUGAAUUUUUUGCUUGGCACGGCCUGUGAGUCGACUCAUGAGUCGACUCUCAAGGCAUGAGUCGACUCAUGAGUCGACUCCUGCGGUUUUAGGCCAAAAGUCAUAGAAACCUGUUUUCUGGUUGUUGCAACAGAGGUCGACUCAUGAGUCGACCCCUGAGGCAU
rnacentral:lncRNA from 1 species